UGGCGAUACACGAGAUGAAUCCUGACGUCACGUCAGAACUCGUCAGUCGUCCAUCGAAAAAGGAAGGUUAUGUGUGUGCCUUUCACUACUCCUUAAUGGGGUCAUCUUUAAGGCGAGGCACUAGCUGCGUGCCACUGAUGGAAGCAAAGUUUGACAAAAAGCCUGGGAGCUCCACUACCAUUGGACCAAUGAGGCUCCCCUAGAACCAUUCCUAUCACUGCCAGUCACCAUGCUAAACAACUUCAUUGUGUAAUUAAUAGAAAAAAAGGAAGGGAGGGAGCGUGACAUCACCACCGCCCCAUGAAUAGCUGGACGUGGACCACCAUGCUUGGAAACCGAGUCUGGAGUGGAGGUGAAGGUAUGCGGCCGGCCUCGGGUGGGAUGCUGGUGGAGGUGUUGAGUGUUCAGAAGUCCUUCAAAAAUUUGGCUUCACUCAUCCAAUUUAAGGGUCGCAUUGGUGCAAAAGAAAACGAAUGUUGGGCAGGUGAGGAACAAAAACGAGCCGUGAAUAGUGCAGGUCACUUGGCGUAAUUAGCCUUCUUAGAUGAAGCAAUUAGUGGCUGACUAGAGAACAGGUACACAGUGUUCCUUAAUUAGCACAAUAACCCGAGUGAUAAUUACCUCCCUUCACCCGCAUGGACAAGAUAAUUAGGGGAGGAAGACGGUGAGGGAACACUUGUGUGGGGCGCGUAACCACGGGGUUCUGUUAAGGUGAAUAAUUGAAUUAAAUUGAGGGAGAAUGAAAGCGAUAAUGAAUGAAUGAAUAUAGCACAAGUGAGGUUACUAGGAAUAUGUUGGCAGUGAAAUGGAGUACAUCCUCCUUUCCGUCCCCUCUAGGCGACAACGAGUGAAAUUACCCCUUUGAUAAGCUUAACUUCCUGUAGUACCAUAUGUACUGUAUGCUUCCCCGCUGGCACUGGUCGUGUGUCGCCCUCAGGGAAGGUGACCCUGCCAGUGCUGCAGCUGACUGUACCCUUAAAGACGUGCAUAAAUCGUGCCGAAAACUGCAGGGUGCACGUUCGUAUAUCGAAAAUUAUAGUACCCAAGUACAGGGUGCUCCAGAAAUCACCUUUUGUAAUUUGGAAGGAUGAUUUUCGAAACCCCUUUACAUUAGCGCCACUUGUCUCUCCGUACUCGUUCCUUGCCCAUUUCGUUCUCAUUUCCUCCUCUCAUCCUCGGAAGCUUCACAUUUUUCCAUCCCGACUGCCGUCCUCGCUUUUUCAUCCCUCGACCCAUUAGAUAAGGACUACUGCUCCACUUGUAUUCAGAAGUUAUAUAUUAGUGAAAAAGAAAGCAUCGCAGAUGUCGCGAAUACUCAGAUAAAUUCUUUUGAGAAAAUUAUAUGGUGUCAUGUUCAAGUGAUCGUCCUUUUUCUUUCCGUGUCGACCUCUCACGCAUGCCUGCCUGUUUGUAUGCCUGCGUAUAUACGUACAUGUGUGUAUGUCUUGGACUCUC